rnacentral:rRNA from 1 species
UACAGAGGUGGCAAGCGUUGUUCGGAAUUACUGGGCGUAAAGGGCGAGUAGGUGGCCAUCUAAGUCAGACGUGAAAUCCCCCGGCUUAACCUGGGAACUGCGUCUGAUACUGGACGGCUUGAGUAUGGGAGAGGAACGUAGAAUUCCAGGUGUAGCGGUGAAAUGCGUAGAUAUCAGGAGGAACACCGGUGGUGUAGACGGCUUUCUGGACCGUAACUGACGCUGAGACACGAAAGCGUGGGUAGCAAACAGG